UACGUAGGGGGCAAGCGUUGUCCGGAAUCAUUGGGCGUAAAGCGCGCGUAGGCGGCCGGUAAGUCCGUUGUGAAAGUCAAAGGCUCAACCUUUGAACGCCGAUGGAUACUGCCGGGCUGAGAGUCCGGAAGAGGCGAGUGGAAUUCCUGGUGGUAGCGUGGAAUGCGCAGAGUAUCAGGAGGAACACCAAGCGGCGAAGGCAGCACUCUGGGCCGGUGACUGACGCUGAGGAGCGAAGCGUGGGGAGCAACAGG
rnacentral:rRNA from 1 species